rnacentral:misc_RNA from 1 species
GGAUUAUAUUUUAUUAAAACGAAAUGACAGCAUCUCGAAGAAAUUAAAGACCAUAUCUACAUAUAAAUGCGUAGAGCUCAGACUAUUAAACUCGAAGAAAAAUCUGAAAGUAGAGUCUGAUAUCACCACAUUAAACUCAUACAAUGCAGCCACCAAAACUUGUUAAAGAGAAACAGGCAAAGGCAGGGGUCAAAGAACUGUAAACAAGAUGAGGACAAAAUAGAAAGUUCUCUUGCAAUAGAAAUGUAUUCCAGUGGCUGUAAUAACUUCUGAUUUGCAUGAAAAUUUCACUAACUGCUACUGCCAAUUUCCAUGUCUAACAUUGAGAAACCAGAGAGUGAACUAAUAAUACUGCACCAUGCAGUUUACAUAGAAUCAUUUUCAGAAACAUAACUGAAUCUUCUUAAUAUGCGUAUAAACGAUGAAAUUUCACUUUCUGCUACAUCAGCACUCUGCCAUCAUAAAAUGCCAAGGCACAAUUGCGAGUGCAUAUUCCAAACCAUCACAUAACAUUAAUGCAUGUCACUCAAAAAGGAAGGGAAAAAAAAAAAAAUCAAUUAUCAUGAAUCUUCACUUCUACAUAUUUUUCCCCAUCUGGUCCUUUUCUACAAGCCCUAUGAACCGGUCAAUGUUUAAUCCCCACGUGAACCACUGCCACUUGCAGAAGCCUUCUUACCAACAUACUUCUGUCAAAUGCCAAAAAACCAAAGUUAUCAUCAAAAAUCUGCGCCGCUACAAACCUGCUAGUUCGGUUGUUCCAGCUAGCACAGUAUCAGUGAAAAUUAAAAGUGCUCACAUGAUGAGUUCCAUCAAAAGGAUGUAGAUUGCUAUGUAAGGCACUCAGAAACUCACCUGCUUUCCAAUGUUGACAGGAAUAUACUUGUAUUUGAUCAUAUGUGCAAUUUGGCGCCUCAUCGUAAGGACAAAAAGAGCAAUCCAGUAACAAAGCAGUAUUGGCCAAAACACAGGAACAUCAAACAUGGAAAAGAAGGUCAUGAAAAAUGCUAUGCAGAAUGCCUUUGUGAAGGAAUACCUGGAAACAUAACAACAGAAAGGAGAUCAAUGCCAUGCAGAGAUCAAGAAAGGACCAGCAAAAGUAGCCCUGUGUAGUUGGGGAAGGGGAGAAAGUUAUCUUAAUUUGCUAAAUACUAAAUUUCUCUCUGAUUAUUCUUGAAAGCCAACUAACAUAUGCAGGCCACAGUGGCAAACACCAGCAUGUCAUAUUUCGACGCCAUGUUCCACAACAGAAAUUCCACAUGAAUAAAAGUUACUAGUAACAAACAAUGUUGGAUAAACUGUUCAUGACUGAAUUCUCAAAAAUCAAUUGGAGAUCAUUCAUCAAGGUAAAAAUAACAAAGGCUCUAUUACUACAGCGGAACAAUUAAAUAACGUGUGCAUCAGUGCAUCAACAGAAUACGAGGAAUAAAAAGCUGAAUGCCACUGCACAUGCGAGGACAGUUUUGUCCUAUGUUUCAACUUCCAACAAGUAGAUGGAUACAAAAUACAGAAAUAUAAGCUCCUAAAAACCAUGCAUGGUAUAUUUUGAAAGCAUUUAUAAAACUAUAUGCAUAAAAGAGCAAUUUGAGGAAGAUUUUACUUGGUUCAAAGGCAUAUAUGACCAGUCAUAAGAAAGGAGUUGAGCAAUGUCAACAACGGUUGACAAGACCAAAACAUACAGCUAAAUAGACAAUCAAACAGUUGGUGAUGUCCACCAACAGGCAAAACCACCAUUAAAUCAUUUCCUUCAACACAUACAUGUAAUGCAUCAAACUGUGACUUCUGAAAGAUGAGCUACAAUAUUAGAGAAUCAAAGAUGCAUCAACUAGAUGAAGAUUUCAGCACAUGUUUUACCCCUUUUGUAAUUUGUAAUCUAUUUGAGAAGAAUGGCCAUAAAAAUUGUUGCAUUCAAAAUAGUUCCAUCCCAAAGAACAGAAUAACACAUCUUAAUGCAAAUAAACAAUGAUUGUAAGAUUAGUUUGGCCAAAUUAUCUAAGAAGUUAUGCAAUGAGCUGAAAAAGUCAUUGGAACAGUUGUAUUAUUAUACUUCAAGAAGCAUAAGCAACACUAACAAUGAGAAAAAGAAUCUUGCAAACGUUGUCAUGAACUAUUCUCUUUCACUACAAUUCUUUCAAUACUGUACUGCAAAAUGACUAGAACUCGUCCAAUUCCUCAGGGUCUUCCAUUUACAUGCAAAUUUUAUCUGAGAAAAUUUCAAAAUCCAUUCAUGACAAUUUAGGGCCAAAGAACUAAACAUAACAAAUGUGUUCCAUUUAUGUACAAAAUUCCAACAAUAUAAGCCUUGCUAACAAAUAUGUAAAAGUAGAAGCUUCCACUUGUACCUGUGGAAAAGUAACUUUCACAAGCAUCAAAGCAUCAAUUUCCUAAUAAAUAGAACCAAAUGAAUUCACCUCAUGUUCUAAAAUCCUUAAAGAGAAAAACAAAUCCUCUUCAAAGAAAGUUCAAAACAUCCAUAACCUAUAAAUUACAGGCAGAUCCCACACUACAGGAAUGCCUAACCUUUUACAGAAUAAUAUGUCAUUCACUCUGAAUCUGAACCUCAAUUGCAGAGACAAGUAUUUAAAAAGGAUAUCAUUUCUUCUACGCAAUUUAAGAAUACAGUUAAAGACAAUUGCAAACCAAAAUUUAUAGAACAAUUCAUUUUUCAAUAUAUUGGCAACAAAAAGGAAUGACUGACCAGUUUUCUUGAAUAUCUAAGUAAACUUGUUUUCGUUAACAGAAAAGUGACACAUGCAGUACAACAUGUCAUAUGAGGUUGCAAUCUCAAACCUUGCAUGUUCCCUAGAAACAACAGCGACAACGAAUAAAAAAUAUCUCACCACCUUCAGAGAUUCUCUACAAACAUCUGCAGCAAAUAAAUAAUCAUAUGUUGCAUUCACUAUAAUUUAUAACUAUUGAUGUGAUAGGUACACUUCCAUAUAACUCAAACUCCAAAGUUAUUACAAUGGUUUCCCAAUAUAGUUGAUUUUUUCCAAUCAAAAUUUCCCAUUUUUCUCCAUAGUUAACCCACACCAAGAAAGAACGUUUCACUGAACAAGCAGAAGAUAAAAAAAAACAAGUGGAAAGUGAAAUUACAAAACUCUAAUUACAUUGAGAGAGCAGGCAUUGGCAAUGAAGAAAAUUUUUAUAAAAAAAAAGGACACAUAUUAGCUGUAAAAUGAUUUCACACCAGAAAUAAAAACCUCAUACCUUGCAAUGAAAUGUUGACUAAGAUUAUAAGACAUAAAAAUAUUUAAAAGAAACGUCCAUACCAGAAUUUGAACUCUGGAAGUCGUCGAAUGAAUGGCUUGAAUUCAUCAGAACCCUUUGUUGGCAACAAAGGCCCAUCCGAAGGUUCAAGUUCAGGAUCAACCAAAGGUGACAAAAACCCAAUAAGCAAAUUCAGUAGAUAUAUUCCAAGCCCGUAGGAAACAAUGUAAAACCCUUGAACAUAAUAAACCCGCAAACAGUAAAUAGCCGCUACAACAAGACUCCCUAUCCACCUAUAGAUUGUAUGAGGUGUAGUCUUAUCCAGAUAAUACUGAUACAUCCUCCAAGCAUCAUGUCCCCAUUGGGCUGCAGGUGAUGCUGCUAAGGCACCCUCACCCCCUACUCCCUCCAUUGGAUAUAAGUAAAUAAGUAUCACAGUCCUGCAGAAUUUGUAAAUAAAACCAAUCAAACAAAGCUGCAAAUUCAUUGAUUCACAGAAGCAAAAUAUAAAACAAAAUAUUCAUGCUUAGCAAGUUGGCAUAAACAGAAUCAAUGGUCAACAAGCACUAAUCAUGAACAAUUGACCUUGCAGCAUUAAUAAUAAAAGCUUAAAUGUGCUAGUAUUCAUUCAAUUGUAGUUUCACAAUCUUGACAUAAAACGUUUGAUUUUCUAAUCAUAUUAAGAACCUACCACUGUAAGAAACACCACCAGCAUAAUGCCUACGGUACCACCAUUUACAUGAACUAAAAAUCUAUAAAAACACAAGCCCAAUGUAACUCCAUGCCUAUCAAAUGUGGAAAAAAAAAAUCCAAAAUAAAGCAUAAAAUAAACGACUACCCAGUUUUUUCAGGACCCAAAUGCAGCUAACAAGCUUCCUUUAAAGCAGCUAUAUACCGUCAAUUAAAAACCCAAGAAAAACAGAAGAUCCAAACCAAUAAAGAGGCUGGGGUUCCAAUACCAGAAGCAGAUCUUAAAUGGACUUGUAUUCUUAAGCUUACAGCUUAGGAGUAUCUAUGAGAUAGAGGAAAGAGGGAGCGAAGGCGAAAGAACGAACUGAAAUUUUGGAGGUGAAAUGCGAGCAGAUCUGUAAUGGCGGCCGUUUGCAUUUGGGGAUAGAUUCGGUAUUUUAUUUCUUCAGAGGAAUUUUAGUUUCUUACCGACAAUGACGCGGUUGAACAGCGGUUUGAGAUUAGGUGAGAAAAUGAUUUGAUUUGUCUGUGACACGGCUAAGGUGAAAGUCAAGGGAAGUUCUUUUAUUGAAGAGAGAAUGUAGGAAGGGGAUAUCCUU